CCUACGGGAGGCAGCAGUGGGGAAUAUUGGUCAAUGGACGAGAGUCUGAACCAGCCACGUAGCGUGAAGGAUGACUGCCCUACGGGUGGUAAACUUCUUUUAUAAAGGAAUACAGUGAGGCACGUGUGCCUUUUUGCAUGUACUUUAUGAAUAAGGAUAGGCUAACUACGUGCCAGCAGCCGCGGUAAUACGGAGGAUCCGAGCGUUAUCCGGAUUUAUUGGGUUUAAAGGGAGCGUAGAUGGUUUGUUAAGUCAGUUGUGAAAGUUUGCGGCUCAACCGUAAAAUUGCAAUUGAUACUGGCAGUCUUGAGUACAGUUGAGGUAGGCGGAAUUCGUGGUGUAGCGGUGAAAUGCUUAGAUAUCACGAAGAACUCCGAUUGCGAAGGCAGCUUACUAAACUGCCACUGACAUUGAUGCUCGAAAGUGUGGGUAUCAAACAGGAUUAGAUACCCUGGUAGUC
rnacentral:rRNA from 1 species